rnacentral:rRNA from 1 species
UACGGGGGGGAGCAAGCGUUGUUCGGAUUCAUUGGGCGUAAAGGGUGCGUAGGCGGCGCGGUAAGUCGGGUGUGAAAUCUCGGAGCUUAACUCCGAAACUGCAUUCGAUACUGCCGUGCUUGAGGACUGGAGAGGAGACUGGAAUUUACGGUGUAGCGGUGAAAUGCGUAGAUAUCGUAAGGAAGACCAGUGGCGAAGGCGACUCUUUGGUCUGUAACUGACGCUGAGGCGCGAAAGCGUGGGGAGCAAACAGG